CUGGCUGUAGAAGCUGAAUCCUGCUUCCUCCAUACCACUGCAUCCUGGCUUGGCUGGAUGGGGCGAGGGCAGGGAUUUGCCCCUAAGCACCACAUUGGAGAACCCUCCCUGGAAGGAUGUGAGGAAGAAGGCUGCAAGCAGAAGAGGAGGAGGAGGAGCGCAGCCACAGUGCGGAGCCAACGACCAUCCCUCUGCAUGUGCUUUGAAGUUCUGCAGAUUGUGUUGGCAGCAGACUGGAGGAGAGAUCAACCACAGAACACCAUCUCCUUCCUUGCAAAUAAGCCUCAGUCCAGCCAGCAACAAAACAGCAGCUGCCCUAUUUCCAGGGCUGGUGGGAGUGCAAAGCCUUCUCCUUGUAUUCAUCAGCUGCUGGUUCUGCUGUAGCCUCCAACCGCAUGUAAGUCAGGACUGUGCCAUGAGAAUGGAUGGGAGGGAUGCCCAGGGAGCAUCCUUGCACCAUGAGCUGCUGCCAGGAUCUGCUCUGUGUUCUCAUGUCACACGUGUCCAUGCAUCUGCAUUUAAGCCUGUUCUUGACUUGCCCAGUACACACAGGGACACUGUGUGUGCUCCAUCCUUAUAUGUAU
rnacentral:lncRNA from 1 species